AUUGAACGCUGGCGGCAGGCCUAACGCAUGCAAGUCGAGCGGAUGAAGGGAGCUUGCUCCUGGAUUCAGCGGCGGACGGGUGAGUAAUGCCUAGGAAUCUGCCUGGUAGUGGGGGAUAACGUCCGGAAACGGGCGCUAAUACCGCAUACGUCCUGAGGGAGAAAGUGGGGGAUCUUCGGACCUCACGCUAUCAGAUGAGCCUAGGUCGGAUUAGCUAGUUGGUGGGGUAAAGGCCUACCAAGGCGACGAUCCGUAACUGGUCUGAGAGGAUGAUCAGUCACACUGGAACUGAGACACGGUCCAGACUCCUACGGGAGGCAGCAGUGGGGAAUAUUGGACAAUGGGCGAAAGCCUGAUCCAGCCAUGCCGCGUGUGUGAAGAAGGUCUUCGGACUGUAAAGCACUUUAAGUUGGGAGGAAGGGCAGUAAGUUAAUACCUUGCUGUUUUGACGUUACCAACAGAAUAAGCACCGGCUAACUUCGUG
rnacentral:rRNA from 1 species